CCUACGGGAGGCAGCAGUGAGGAAUAUUGGUCAAUGGACGAGAGUCUGAACCAGCCAAGUAGCGUGAAGGAUGACUGCCCUAUGGGUUGUAAACUUCUUUUAUAUGGGAAUAAAACGUUCCACGUGUGGGAUUUUGUAUGUACCAUAUGAAUAAGGAUCGGCUAACUCCGUGCCAGCAGCCGCGGUAAUACGGAGGAGCCGAGCGUUAUCCGGAGUUAUUGGGGUUAAAGGGAGCGUAGGUGGAUUGUUAAGUCAGUUGUGAAAGUUUGCGGCUCAACCGUAAAAUUGCAGUUGAAACUGGCAGUCUUGAGUACAGUAGAGGUGGGCGGAAUUCGUGGUGUAGCGGUGAAAUGCUUAGAUAUCACGAAGAACUCCGAUUGCGAAGGCAGUUCACUGGACUGCAACUGACACUGAGGCUCGAAAGUGUGGGUAUCAAACAGGAUUAGAUACCCAGUAGUC
rnacentral:rRNA from 1 species